AACGGCCGAGGGAAACUUGACGGGGGAAAGUCUUAGCUGCCCCUAAUGAUUACACAGAUUAACAAAUCCCGUGGAAUACAAGUGACUCUCCCUGCAUCUUGACAUCUGCAACAAAGGCCAAACUGAGGAAUUCACCACCUGUAGGUGAUCUCCAACAUUACUGAAGCACCAAGAAGCCAGCAUCUGGGCGCUAGACAAGGGACAGAUCAUAACAUGUGGACCUUAUACCAUGCAGACUGCACAGGUAGUGGAACCUCUGGCCUAUGGACCUGGGGGACUGAUGAGGACAGUUCAAGGAUGAGGGUCUUACUUCCAUUCACAGUGUCAUGAUUGUCCUGGAGUAUUGGAUAUCUGGGGACAAACCAAGUGAAUUGCAUUAUUGCCAGAGACCAAAACGAAUAGUUACACCGCAGACUGGCGGGCCAGGGUGGACAAAAACAACCCACUAAUUAAACGUCUCAACAUAAACCAAGUUCAUCUCAUUAUGAAAGACAGGAAAACAAAAUGUUACACCACAGAUUGACAAGCCAUGAUACAUGUGAACAGCCCACUCCGAGGAAGGCCUUACACAUGGGUAAAGGGAGAUAACUCUGCCAUUUCCGUCAGGCAACUGGUACACUGGUUUGAAAGAUCUGUUUUACCAAC